rnacentral:rRNA from 1 species
UACGUAGGGAGCAAGCGUUGUUCGGAUUUACUGGGCGUAAAGAGCGCGUAGGCGGCCACCGCAAGUCGACUGUGAAAUCUCCGGGCUUAACCCGGAAAGGUCAGCCGAUACUGCGGGGCUAGAGUGCAGAAGGGGCAACUGGAAUUCUCGGUGUAGCGGUGAAAUGCGUAGAUAUCGAGAGGAACACCUGCGGCGAAGGCGGGUUGCUGGGCUGACACUGACGCUGAGGCGCGAAAGCCAGGGGAGCGAACGGG